rnacentral:rRNA from 1 species
GACGAACGCUGGCGGCGUGCUUAACACAUGCAAGUCGAACGGAAAGGCCCUGCUUGCAGGGUACUCGAGUGGCGAACGGGUGAGUAACACGUGGGUGAUCUGCCCUGCACUUCGGGAUAAGCCUGGGAAACUGGGUCUAAUACCGGAUAGGAGCCAUUUUUAGUGUGAUGGUUGGAAAGUUUUUUCGGUGUAGGAUGAGCUCGCGGCCUAUCAGCUUGUUGGGGGGGUAAUGGCCUACCAAGGCGGCGACGGGUAGCCGGCCUGAGAGGGUGGACGGCCACAUUGGGACUGAGAUACGGCCCAGACUCCUACGGGAGGCAGCAGUGGGGAAUAUUGCACAAUGGGCGCAAGCCUGAUGCAGCGACGCCGCGUGGGGGAGGACGGCCUUCGGGUUGUAAACUCCUUUCGCUAGGGACGAAGCUUUUUGUGACGGUACCUAGAUAAGAAGCACCGGCUAACUACGUG